UCAGAGUCGACUGGAAACUUACACCAUGGCGUGAUUAGACCGGUUAAAACUACGCGCAGACAUGAAGACACGCCUUUAAUCCCAGCAAUCAGGAGGUCAGGUAUCGCACAUCAGCAGGACGGCAAGCAGUAACCAGGCCAUGCUACCCAGAAGAAAGGAAGCCACCCCAGCCUGCUUCUGGGCAAUCAAGAGCAAGAUUCUAUUGUAUAGAGCCUGAACAUCAGCGAUAACGGGGAUGUUAGAGGGGUUCCCUGCUUGUACUCACAGCCCUAUGUGCUAUGACCUCCUGUGGUCUCAUGGAUAUAGUGGAGUCUUUCAAGGCCUUCUGAGAAGGGCAGAGGUAGAACCCCUGAAAAUCCUCUGUGCCACAAAACCACUAAGAACACCAGGAACGUGCUCUAGAUGUUAAGCCUAUGCUGGCAGCAACCCAGAAAGCAGUCACAUCCCAGUAAAAACGCGCCCACACCUCACCCUGUCUGAGGAAGAGGUGCUUCAGCAGGUCUUCUGUGGACAUUUCACUCGACUGUAGAGUGUACGAAGUAAAUGCAAAUGAAGACGCACACGGUUACACCAGCAAAGAACACACUGUGCUCUGGGGAGAAGGGCAGAUUCGCUUCGUCUGCCGUGGUUCCAGGACACUCUUCAGAAGCGCCUGUUCACACGCUCACCCUGAAUACACGAGACUCUUCCUGACACCACCAUGGAAGCGGGCUCCCUAGAAGUCUAUAAAAUAUGAAUGGACCCAUGACCCAGAAACAACAUCUCAUGGUACACUUUUGUGGACACUUAAAAGAAGCAGUGCAGAGCUCCAAAAAUACUUCUUUCUCACUCAGGCAGGCACACCCUCACUGAGAGGGCGUCUCUCCUGUCACUUACAUGCAUAUGCAGACUGGGCCCUUUCUGGAAUGGAACCUGGCCCUCCAGCUCCUGCAGAGGCCCUUGGAGCCAAGGAGGCCCCGCAUGGGGAGAGCUAUGAGGUGAGGAGUGUGAGGAAAAGGAUUCUACCUUCUCUGACUCCCAGAAAGGAUUGCUACAAAGGUUCAAAG
rnacentral:lncRNA from 1 species